UAGAGUGAAGUGCAUGGGUAGUACGUAGAACUUUGAAUUCUAAAGUGCAGGUUCAACUCCUGUUGCUCUAG
rnacentral:tRNA from 1 species